AUGGGAAGCUGCGGAACCAACUCCAACGGGCACGGCACAGCCGAGGUGCCGCGGCCGCACGCCCAAGGCCCUGCGGCUAUGCUCGGCAUCGGCACGGCGAACCCCACCGGCGUGCUAAUGCCCCAGGACGUCUUCCCCGACACCCUCUUCCGCGUCACCAAUAGUGACCACCUCACUGACCUCAAACAGAAGCUAACGAGAAUUUGCGGGAACGCGGGCAUCGACAAGCGACACUUCCACCUGACGGAGGAGGCGCUGGCGGCUCAUCCGGAGCUGUUCGACCCAGAGCUGCUGUCGCUGGACACGCGGGUCGACAUGACCGUCGACGCUGUCCCGAAGCUGGCGCAGUGCGCGGCGGCCAAGGCCAUCGCCGAGUGGGGCCGCCCGGCGACCGAGAUCACCCACCUCGUCUUCACCACCUACUCCGCCUGCGGCGCCCCGAGCGCCGACCUCCGCCUGGCCACGCUCCUCGGCCUCAGGCCCACGGUGAGCCGCACCAUGCUCAGCCUCCACGGCUGCUAUGGCGGCGGCAGGGCGCUCGGCCUCGCCAAGGAGCUCGCCGAGAACAACCGUGGAGCACGCGUCCUCGUGGCCUGCUCCGAGACCACGCUGGUCUGCUUCGGCGCGCCCGACGGCGGCAACCUCGUCGGCCACGCCAUCUUCGGGGACGGCGCCGGCGCAGUCAUUGUCGGGGCCGGUCCGUUCCUCGACGGCGAGCAGCGCCCCAUCUUUGAGAUGGUCCACGCCACGCAGACCACGGUGCCCAAGACCGAGCACGCGCUCGGCAUGCAGGUGUCCGGCGGUGGCAUCGACUUCCACCUCUCCAUCCAGGUGCCCACGCUCAUCGGACACAACGUCCAGGGCUGCCUCAUCCAUGCAUUCUGUGGUGGAGACGACGACGACAACGGUGGUGCUCAUCUUCCGUCUCCAUUAUCAGGGAACGGGAAGUGGAACGACCUCUUCUGGGCGGUGCACCCAGGUGGCCGUCUGAUCCUGGACAACAUAGACAAGGUGCUCAAGCUGGAGCCGGAGAAGCUGGCGGCCAGCCGGCGCGUGCUCCGCGAGUACGGCAACAUGAGCGGCGCGACCAUCGUCUUCGUGCUCGACGAGCUGCGCCGGCGCCGGAGCCUGCUGCCGGAGUGGGGCGCCAUGCUGGCCUUCGGACCCGGAGUCACAAUUGAGACCAUGGUGCUCCGCUGUCCACGCUAG
rnacentral:rRNA from 1 species